UACGUAGGGGGCAAGCGUUGUCCGGAAUUAUUGGGCGUAAAGAGCGUGUAGGCGGCCAUGUAGGUCCGGUGUGAAAACUCGAGGCUUAACCUCGAGAUGUCAUCGGAAACCAUUUGGCUAGAGUCCGGAAGAGGAGAGUGGAAUUCCUGGUGUAGCGGUGAAAUGCGUAGAUAUCUGGAGGAACACCGGUGGCGAAGGCGGCAUCCUGGACCGAUACUGACGCUGAGGAGCGAAAGCCAGGGGAGCAAACGGG
rnacentral:rRNA from 1 species